AAUGAACGCUAGCGGCGUGUUUAAGACAUGCAAGUUGAACGGAGAGAUUAAGUGCUUGCACUUGAUCUCUUAGUGGCGGACGGGUGAGUAACACGUGAGCAACCUACCUUAAAGUGGAGGACAGUCCUGGGAAAUUGGGUUUAAUACUCCAUGUGCAUAUAUGUAAAGGUGCCUUUGGGUGCCGCUUUAAGAUGGGCUCGCGUCCUAUCAGCUAGUUGGUGAGGUAAGAGCUCACCAAGGCGACGACGGGUAACUGGUCUUAGAGGAUGAUCAGUCACACUGGAACUGAGACACGGUCCAGACACCUACGGGUGGCAGCAGUCGAGAAUAAUUCACAAUGGGGGAAACCCUGAUGGUGCAACGCCGCGUGGAGGAUGACGGUUUUCGGAUUGUAAACUCCUGUCAUUGUAGAGUAAGGCUUAGUUGUUAAGAGCAGUUAAGUUUGAGAGUAUACAAAGAGGAAGGGACGGCUAACUUCG
rnacentral:rRNA from 1 species